rnacentral:rRNA from 1 species
UAGUCAUAUGCUUGUCUCAAAGAUUAAGCCAUGCAUGUCUAAGUAUAAGCAAUUAUACCGUGAAACUGCGAAUGGCUCAUUAAAUCAGUUAUCGUUUAUUUGAUAAUACCUUACUACUUGGAUAACCGUGGUAAUUCUAGAGCUAAUACAUGCUGAAAAUCCCGACUUCGGAUGGGAUGUGUUUAUUAGAUAAAAAACCAAUGCCCUUCGGGGCUUUUUGGUGAUUCAUGAUAACUUUACGGAUCGCAUAGCCUUGCGCUGGCGACGGUUCAUUCAAAUUUCUGCCCUAUCAACUUUCGAUGGUAAGGUAUUGGCUUACCAUGGUUUCAACGGGUAACGGGGAAUUAGGGUUCGAUUCCGGAGAGGGAGCCUGAGAAACGGCUACCACAUCCAAGGAAGGCAGCAGGCGCGCAAAUUACCCAAUCCCGACACGGGGAGGUAGUGACAAUAAAUACUGAUACAGGGCUCUUUUGGGUCUUGUAAUUGGAAUGAGUACAAUUUAAACCUCUUAACGAGGAACAAUUGGAGGGCAAGUCUGGUGCCAGCAGCC